rnacentral:rRNA from 1 species
AAUCAACGCUGGCGGCGUGCCUCAGACAUGCAAGUCGAACGAUUAAACUUUCCUUCGGGAAAGAUAUAAAGUGGCGCACGGGUGAGUAACACGUAGGUAAUGUACCUUUGGGUGGGGAAUAACUUAGGGAAACUUAAGCUAAUACCGCAUAAUGCGAUAACUUCUUCGGAAGUAAUGGUUAAAGAUUUAUCGCCUGAAGAGCAGCCUGCGGCAGAUUAGCUAGUUGGUAAGGUAACGGCUUACCAAGGCUACGAUCUGUAACCGACCUGAGAGGGUGGUCGGUCACACUGACACUGAAUAACGGGUCAGACUCCUACGGGAGGCAGCAGUCGGGAAUUUUGGG